AUGAAUGUCUUAACUCCCUGCUGAUUGUAAAUGAUUCCUUUGUCACCUGUGACUGGGAUUUUCCUUCCUUAAGAAAGAAAAAAAGAAAAUAAGAAUGCACAGUCAAACUCAGUGGACAAUUCCUCCCUUGCUGGUGUAUACAGUGUGUGAUCGUUUAUUAUGAUUCGGUGAGAAUUACAGCCAGGAAUGCUCUGCUAAAGUAACCAGAGGAUUAAUCAAAAACAACAGACAAAAAGUUCCGUCCGAUCUGCCAAUUCUGCACAGGUCAGUAACUCAAAGUGCACGAUCUACGCAAAGCUUGUGCUGGACUAAUAGCCUGCUAUCACUAUGUCAACAAAAGAAUGAGGAAAAAAGGCACAUUGAUUUACGUCGGGCCAAAAGUGUUUUAAAUUGUUGCAUCAGUCACACUCACUUUUGUGAAUGUCAUGAUGAAUGUUUCUCAAUCAAGCACGCCAUCUGGUCUGACAGCACAUAGCUGCAGAGCCAUGUUGCACUGAGUGUUUAUACCAGUCACUUCCUCAACUGGAAUUUAAAUUUAAAAAAUGAAAAUGAAGGUGAAACUGAGUGUUGUUUUUGUUAUUUGUAAAGUAUGUUAAAUUAGAUCUUUGCAGGAAAGAACACAUUGGUGCACAAAAAUAAAUAAAUAAACGGGGGAACAAAUAACCAAUCACAAUGUCAAGUCAAUCACACUUAGGGUAUCAACCUGUCUAGUUAGGACUAUGUGGAUUGUGGCUCAAGUACACAGACAACAAAGGAAAGGAGAGGCAACUCGCAAGACAACACAUUAAGAAAUAACUUCUAGGUGGUGGCUACUGGCUACAGACCAUUUUCCUCUCCUCAUCCAUUCUGGACGAUCCCUGCUGAGUUCUACUUAUUUCCAGUGCCCUCGCCACUCGUGGUAGCAUGAGGUAGCCUCAGCAGACCGCAGAUGUUGUCAGGUAGCGCAGCCCAACCUCAGGGAGCACUGUGGCCACAGGGUUUACUUUGUUUCCAGCACAGUGUCAAGAGUGUGGAAGAGAUACCAGGCGACAGGCCAGCACGCAAGGAGAGGUACAGGGGAGGCGUAGGACGGCUGCAGAACUGCUAACUGGUCCGUUUCAUAUUUUCCUUUGUUUAACCUGGGACACUUCGACAGCGGACAAUCAGAGCUGGGAUCCGAACCAGCAACCCCUCGAAAGAGAUUCCCUGAAGGUGGCUUUCGGACCCGACAUCCACAAGUGGGGCAUGUAAUCACAGCCCGGGACAGUGCAGCCCAAAGGACACCAAAAUUGGCAGAUUUGCUGUUUGUCCGGACAGCUGAAGAGUGUUCAUUCCAACAAACAGUCCCAGUUUCCAGGUUCUAGUCUGCAAUGGGAUCCAAACAUUACCACAGCAGACCUGACAAACAGCAUAUUCCUUUUUUUUUGUUCACUAGCCACAAUGAGCCACAUCUAUCAAAUACAUUUCAUACCCACAUGAAGAACUUGCAUUUAUUUACUUAUCAUUCCUGUCGGUUCUCUUGUAAGAUUACAGUUUACAAGAGCCCUAAACAACUCAUAACAACACACACAAAUAUAGCCAAAAGUUACUUCUAAUGAAACAAAAAGAGCAACUGUUACAUAACUUUUUUUCAAUGAUGCAGCUUUGCAGCAGAUUGGUUCCAACAGGACAGGGGUUUCAUAAGACAAUUGUUUUACAAAUAAGUGCAACUUUAAUUGAUAUGAUCUGGGCGAUUUGUAACCCCUGUGGUUUAUGAAACCACUUACUAAUCCUCAGAAACAGCAGGACAUGUCCUAUCAGCAGAAGCUGGCAUGCUCGCUCAGUGGUGGAGCCACCAUCAGCAUACUAAAAGUCCUGGGCUGCAGAUACGCAGCGGUAAGCACAAAUUUAUACAUACCUGGAAAAAGUGUGCAAAAGAUAUGGUCUGCACAAUAGCGCAAGGCAGCCAAGACCAAGAACUGCUACAACCUAAUAGCAACUCACAUCACUUAGUUCAGUGUUGCAUGUACAACCCCAAUUCCAAUGAAGUUGGGACGUUGUGUUAAACAAAUAAAAACAGAAUACAAUGAUUUGCAAAUCAUGUUCAACCUAUAUUUAAUUGAAUACACUACAAAGACAAGAUAUUUAAUGUUCAAACUGAUAAACUUUAUUGUUUUUAGCAAAUAAUCAUUAACUUAGAAUUUUAUGGCUGCAACACGUUCGACAAAAGCUGGGACAGGGUCAUGUGUACCACUGUGUUACAUCACCUUUUCUUUUAACAACAUUCAAUAAACGUUUGGGAACUGAGGACACUAAUUGUUGAAGCUUUGUAGGUGGAAUUCUUUCCCAUUCUUGCUUCAUGUACAGCUUCAGCUGUUCAACAGUCCAGUUCCGUUUUUAUUUAUGUUUAACACAACGUCCCAACUUCAUUGGAAUUGGGGUUGUUACAUUGUAAAAUGAUUCAGUUCAGGAGUACUUUUUAUACUAGCUAAGAGAUUUUCUUUUCUAAUUCGAUUUUCCCUUUCAAACCUUGGUAGUUUGCAGAAGGAAUACCUUUACAUUACUCCUGCCUUUACAUGGACAUGUUAUAGAUGGCUUCUUGGUCUGAUGAGACAUUGCCUUGUAUACCUGUCCAAUUUAAGACAAAAGCAGGCAAGUUGAUGUGUGUAAAGUCAGAUUUCAGAUGAGUAAAUGGUUCUUUUAUAC